CACUUUGUUUGUGCGUUAAUUAUAUGGAGACUAAAAAGUCACAUCGGGCGGCUUCUCAGGCAGUGGGCUGAGCUGGAAAAACGUUUGAAAAACCCAUUUUGAUUCAGUCAGACUUACAAAAUAUUGCUAAAGUACACAUUUUUUAUUGUAUAUGUAUUUUGUGUGUAUAUUUAUGAGCAAGUCUUAGGGUAUAAAACUACCUCUUGCAAUGGAUAGAGGUGGCAGACUAAUAAUAAUAAUAAAUAAGAACUAUAGGCAUUACAAGUGAACCAGUGCUCAAGCAAGCCUAAAAUGUCAGAUAUUAAUAUUUGUAGAAAGCUCCUUUGAGUACUGUUGCAAAUAUUUUUAGUCCCCCAACAGCACGACAAGGUGUUACGCAACUUUUGGAUUAUUGUUGUUGUUAUUAAAUUGCUAUCCAUAACAAUUUAGUCCUACUUUAAGUAGCAUUCAUUCGGGUUGAGCAAGGCACAGGAUAUGUGCAUGAGUGGCCCUUUGAAAACCAUCUAAAGGAAGCUGUGGCUGGGUUACGAGUCCACCGCCGGCCCACGGCCCAUCUCCUCGGAGCGACAAAGACGAAGAUGAAAGACGUGAAACGAUGUGUUUUGUCACUCGCGUGCUGCGUAUGACCAGCGUUGGCCGGAGACAGCCCUACGCGUCGCGCUCUAUGUAGGCCAUUGGGAGGCCCGAUGGCACAGGGCACGCACGGCGUUCCGUGAAAUGCAGAAGAAAAACCGCCGACUGCUCCGCCCCUCGAACCGUGGUUCGCGCAACACAACGGCCUUGUAAAGCGCACCCAUAUAAACCACACAUGAGCUCAAGACCCUGCUGAAACUAGCGUCGGAUGUGGCGCGUCAUCGCUCUGCCCGUCAAGCUCCGUCCGACUUCAGCGCAUCGCGUCUCAGUGUCCGCAAGCGCAGGAAGACACAAGAUGAGGAGCUUCUGCGAGUGAAAUCAUUUCCAUGACAGUGAUAAUGAACAUGUGGUAUAAAAGCACCAUCACCCUGUUGACAGUGCUGCUCUGUGUGGACGCCGUGCAGAACCACUGCAGGGUGGUUCAGCCUCCCCAGGCCCAUGUCACCUCCGUCGGGUCAUCGGUGACACUCGGCUGCAGGUUCCAGCUUCCUGCCAAUAUGACUCAGUUCCGAAUCAAAUGGCUCUACAGCUCCGAUUCCCACGCCAAAUGCGGCAGUGACCUCGAAGUGUUUCAAUCCGGCAUCGUCUAUCCCGGGGACGAGAACAAAACGGAGGAGGACCCGGAAGGGCGGGUUCGAAUGGUCAUGGGAAACAGCUUGUGCAAACUGACGCUGACCAGUAUGGAGCGGCAUUACCGAGGGAUGUACUUCUGCAAGGUCACGGUGGAGAUUCCCGAACUGCAACAAUGCUGCGGCAACGGAACCUGGGUGGACAUCGGUGAGUCUCCCGGUGCGGUGACCAGCGUUGUCAUGGCAACAAGUGUGAGUCUGAGGAAAGGAGAGCAUGUGGGCAAAAGACACCUUUCGAACACACUAAAUACUAAUAUAUAA
ensembl:lncRNA